CUUAGCUGUUUAACGGAGUCAUGCGAGAGCAGGUUUUAAAUGAUGGAAAAAGUGAUGAUAGCUCGCUUGAACAGCAAUCAUCGUAGUAAUUGCAGAAGAAAGAGAUGCAAUAUUUUAAUAUUACGAAAAGUUCUGCACCAGUUUAAAAAAUCACUGGAAUAUCAUUGUCAAAUGCUUAACUGACAAUAUCUGUCUUCAAAAUACAAAUUUAUUUAAAAAUACAAAAAGAAAUUAAUAAUAAAGUCUUGCGUGUUUAGCUAAAAUGUCAGAGUCUGAUUUAUUAAAAGUUGAAGAGUCAAAAAAUCUAAAACCAUGUUGUGCAUGUCCGGAAACAAAGAUACCAAGAGAUAAGUGUAUAAUGGAAAAAGGAGAAGAAAAUUGUGAAGAUUUAAUAGAAGCUCAUAAACAAUGCAUGAGGAGUCUUGGAUUCAAAAUUUAAGAAUAUAGUUACUUAA